UCCUGCAUCGAAAGUGAUUGUGGCAUUACAAUAGUGGCCUGGUCAUUGAUACUGCAGGAAGAGUAUCUUGAUAGAAUUUCCCGUGUUUGGUGGAAUCGUAUUGUGCCUACCAGACCCUGUAACUUUCACACA